rnacentral:lncRNA from 1 species
CAACAACAGCCGAGUUGCUACCCCAAAUUGCAUGAUAACAGUGCCUAAAUUGAUUCAUCUCCACGGUCAUUUUCUGUGGAUUAUUUCGCUGCUCUAACAAGGCAGUAAAGACAACGGGGAAAAUAUGUUUACAGAUUCCCCGCAAUCAUGAAACGCCAGUGAGAUAAGACUCAAGAACUGUCAGAAACGCGAAGAAACCUUUUUGCCCAUCAAGACCUGAACCCAGACAGCUGUCAGGGUCUGCUAAGAUCAUUUCAUCACUGGGGAGAAGCAAAUUAUUCAAUAUGACGUCCAUAUCGCCUGGAGGACAUUGUCCAAAACAACUCCAUUGGUUCACUAGCUGACCUCUAUCAAGACACCCAUGUCAACUGGAUUCCCA